rnacentral:rRNA from 1 species
AGAGGAAGUAAAAGUCGUAACAAGGUUUCCGUAGGUGAACCUGCGGAAGGAUCAUUAGCGAAAUGUUUGUCGAGAAGGGUUGUAGCUGGCUGCCUUCGGGGAGCAYGUGCACGCCCGGAUCGCGAAUUCUUCUUUCACACACCUGUGCACAUCCCCGUGGCUUUGUGGAUGCCGGACGGAUCUUUUGAUUUGGAUGGCGUCCCCCUGGCUGCGCGUUAUCACACACACGCUUUAUCAAGUAUCAGAAUGUAACAGCGCGUAAAAGCGCAAAAUAUAUACAACUUUCAGCAACGGAUCUCUUGGCUCUCGCAUCGAUGAAGAACGCAGCGAAAUGCGAUAAGUAAUGUGAAUUGCAGAAUUCAGUGAAUCAUCGAAUCUUUGAACGCACCUUGCGCUCCUUGGUAUUCCGAGGAGCAUGCCUGUUUGAGUGUCAUUGUAAUUCUCAACUGCCCUUUGGGUGAAGUUGGAUUUGGAGGAUAUCUUGCUGGCGGCUCUUUGAGCUUUGUCGGCUCCUCUUGAAUGCAUGAGCCCUCGACGCUGCGAGGCGGCUCCGAUGUGAUAAUUAUCUACGUCGGACCAUCGCAUUAGUGUUGGGCAUGAAUGGGAUUGGAACCUUUUGACAAUUUGACCUCAAAUCAGGUAGGACUACCCGCUGAACUUAAGCAUAUCA